GGGGGCGUAGCUCAGUUGGUAGAGCGUUCGCUUUGCAUGUGGAAGGUCCCGGGUUCAAGCCCCGGCGCCUCCA
rnacentral:tRNA from 1 species